GAAAUGCGAUAAGUUAUGUGAAUAGCAGAAUGCAGUGAAUCAUCGAAACUUUGAACGCACAUUGCGCCCCCUGGUAUUCCGGGGGGCUUGCCAGUUCGAGCGUCGUUACACCACUCAAGCCUCGCUUGGUAUUGGGCGACGCGGUCCGCCGCGCGCCUCAAAUCGACCGGCUGGGUCUUUCGUCCCCUCAGCGUUGUGGAAACUAUUCGCUAAAGGGUGCCGCGGGAGGCCACGCCGUAAAACAACCCCAUUUCUAAGGUUGACCUCGGAUCAGGUAGGGAUACCCGCUAAACUUAA
rnacentral:misc_RNA from 1 species